CUUAAUGUCAGAGGGGAGUAACUUGAGAAUUUGAGGGGCUAUAUUACUAACAUCUUAAAUUCAGCAUUUUAUCGUCAUUACGAAGUUGAUACUUCCGGUAAAAUGAGCAAAUUUGCUAAGUGAGACCUUUGCU
rnacentral:sRNA from 2 species